rnacentral:rRNA from 1 species
GCUUACCGGUCAUACCAACCUGGCUAUGCCCCAUCUCGUCUGAUCUCGGAAGCUAAGCAGGUUUGGGCCUGGUUAGUACUUGGAUGGGAGACCGCCUCGGAAAUAACAGGUGGCUGUAAGCU